rnacentral:rRNA from 3 species
UAACUUUUAACAAUGGAUCUCUAGGCUCUCAUAUCGAUGAAGAACACAGUGAAAUGUGAUAAGUAAUGUGAAUUGCAGAAUUCAGUGAAUCAUUGAAUCUUUGAACGCACCUUGCACCUUUUGGUAUUCCAAAAGGUACACCUGUUUGAGUGUCAUGA